rnacentral:tRNA from 2 species
GGGCGAGUGGCGGAACUGGCAGACGCGCACGGCUUAGGACCGUGUGCCGCAAGGCUUGGAGGUUCGAGUCCUCUCUCGCCCA